UGGUCACAUUACGCUGAAAUAACUGUUCCCGUAAGAUCGCAAAAGUUAAGCAAUGUUGAGCCUGGUUAGUACCGAGAUGGGUGACCGCUUGGGAAUACCAGGUUCUGUA